rnacentral:rRNA from 1 species
UGGGGAAUUUUGCACAAUGGGGGAAACCCUGAUGCAGCGACGCCGCGUGAUUUAGAAGGCCUUCGGGUUGUAAAAAUCUUUUGUAUGGGAAGAAAAUGACAGUACCAUACGAAUAAGGACCGGCUAAUUACGUGCCAGCAGCCGCGGUAAUACGUAAGGUCCGAGCGUUGUCCGGAAUCAUUGGGCGUAAAGGGUACGUAGGCGGAUAAGCAAGUUAGAAGUGAAAUCCUAUAGCUCAACUAUAGUAAGCUUUUAAAACUGCUCAUCUUGAGGUAUGGAAGGGAAAGUGGAAUUCCUAGUGUAGCGGUGAAAUGCGCAGAUAUUAGGAGGAAUGCCGGUGGCGAAGGCGACUUUAUGGCCAUAUACUGACGCUGAGGUACGAAAGCGUGGGUAGCAAACAGG